rnacentral:ncRNA from 1 species
UGGGAGGCAGCCCGACUAUAAAGAAAGCUGACGCUUGCAAGUUAGCAUAGCUAGCAACACAAUCGAAUUGCGGGGAUCUCCUAAAGCCCUAGGUACCAUUCUACUGUUGAAAGACGGUAGCGACCGGUAAAAGACCUAGGGAUGUACAAUGGACAAUCCGCAGCGAAGACCCUAAAGGCGAAGCCCAUGGGUAGCGUUCACAGACUAGGUGAUUGUGGGCAGUUUACUGUCUAAGAUAUAGUCGAGUUACAGCGUGAAAGCCCUGUAUGAAUAGUCCGUAGGUGAACCUGCGGAAGGAUCAUUA